GAUGAACGCUGGCGGCGUGCCUAAUACAUGCAAGUCGAGCGAACAGAUGAGGAGCUUGCUCCUCUGACGUUAGCGGCGGACGGGUGAGUAACACGUGGAUAACCUACCUAUAAGACUGGGAUAACUACGGGAAACCGGAGCUAAUACCGGAUAAUAUAUUGAACCGCAUGGUUCAAUAGUGAAAGACGGUUUUGCUGUCACUUAUAGAUGGAUCCGCGCCGCAUUAGCUAGUUGGUAAGGUAACGGCUUACCAAGGCAACGAUGCGUAGCCGACCUGAGAGGGUGAUCGCCCACCCUGGAACUGAGACUCGGCCCAGACUCCUACGGUAGGCAGCAGUAGGGAAUCUUCCGCAAUGGGCGAAAGCCUGACGGAGCAACGCCGCGUGAGUGAUGAAGGUCUUCGGAUCGUAAAGCUCUGUUAUUAGUGAAGAACAAAUGUGUAAGUAACUAUGCACGUCUUGACGGUACCUAAUCAGAAAGCCACGGCUAACUACGUG
rnacentral:rRNA from 1 species